AUCUGGGUGGCUCAGUUUAUUGAGUGUCUGACUUUGGCUCAGGUCACGUAGGUUCGAGCCCUACAUCGGGCU
rnacentral:tRNA from 1 species